rnacentral:rRNA from 1 species
ACGAACGCUGGCGGCGCGCCUAACACAUGCAAGUCGAACGGAGCUUAGAGAGCUUGCUUUUUAAGCUUAGUGGCGAACGGGUGAGUAACGCGUGAGUAACCUGCCCUAGAGUGGGGGACAACAGUUGGAAACGACUGCUAAUACCGCAUAAGCCCACGGUGCCGCAUGGUACUGAGGGAAAAGGAUUUAUUCGCUUUAGGAUGGACUCGCGUCCAAUUAGCUAGUUGGUGAGGUAACGGCCCACCAAGGCGACGAUUGGUAGCCGGACUGAGAGGUUGAACGGCCACAUUGGGACUGAGACACGGCCCAGACUCCUACGGGAGGCAGCAGUGGGGGAUAUUGCACAAUGGGGGAAACCCUGAUGCAGCGACGCCGCGUGGAGGAAGAAGGUUUUCGGAUUGUAAACUCCUGUCGUUAGGGACGAUAAUGACGGUACCUAACAAGAAAGCACCGGCUAACUACGUGCCAGCAGCCGCGGUAAAACGUAGGGUGCAAGCGUUGUCCGGAAUUACUGGGUGUAAAGGGAGCGCAGGCGGGAAGACAAGUUGGAAGUGAAAACCAUGGGCUCAACCCAUGAAUUGCUUUCAAAACUGUUUUUCUUGAGUAGUGCAGAGGUAGAUGGAAUUCCCGGUGUAGCGGUGGAAUGCGUAGAUAUCGGGAGGAACACCAGUGGCGAAGGCGGUCUACUGGGCACCAACUGACGCUGAGGCUCGAAAGCAUGGGUAGCAAACAGGAUUAGAUACCCUGGUAGUCCAUGCCGUAAACGAUGAUUACUAGGUGUUGGGGGAUUGACCCCCUCAGUGCCGCAGUUAACACAAUAAGUAAUCCACCUGGGGAGUACGACCGCAAGGUUGAAACUCAAAGGAAUUGACGGGGGCCCGCACAAGCAGUGGAGUAUGUGGUUUAAUUCGAAGCAACGCGAAGAACCUUACCAGGUCUUGACAUCCUGCUAACGAAGUAGAGAUACAUUAGGUGCCCUUCGGGGAAAGCAGAGACAGGUGGUGCAUGGUUGUCGUCAGCUCGUGUCGUGAGAUGUUGGGUUAAGUCCCGCAACGAGCGCAACCCUUAUUGCCAGUUACUACGUAAGAGGACUCUGGCGAGACUGCCGUUGACAAAACGGAGGAAGGUGGGGAUGACGUCAAAUCAUCAUGCCCUUUAUGACCUGGGCUACACACGUACUACAAUGGCGUUAAACAAAGAGAAGCAAGACCGCGAGGUGGAGCAAAACUCAAAAACAACGUCUCAGUUCAGAUUGCAGGCUGCAACUCGCCUGCAUGAAGUCGGAAUUGCUAGUAAUCGCGGAUCAGCAUGCCGCGGUGAAUACGUUCCCGGGCCUUGUACACACCGCCCGUCACACCAUGAGAGUUUGUAACACCCGAAGCCGGUGGCGUAACCCUUUUAGGGAGCGAGCCGUCUAAGGUGGGACAAAUGAUUAGGGUG